UCAGGAUGAACGCUGGCGGCGUGCUUAACACAUGCAAGUCGAACGGGGGCAGGAGGAAACCUAGUGAAUCCUGCCCUAGUGGCGGACGGGUGAGUAACGCGUGGGCAACCUGCCGCAUACCGGGGGAUAACACUUAGAAAUAGGUGCUAAUACCGCAUAAGCGCACAGAGCCGCAUGGCUCGGUGUGAAAAACUCCGGUGGUAUGCGAUGGGCCCGCGUCUGAUUAGCUUGUUGGCGGGGCAGCGGCCCACCAAGGCGACGAUCAGUAGCCGGCCUGAGAGGGUGGACGGCCACAUUGGGACUGAGACACGGCCCAGACUCCUACGGGAGGCAGCAGUGGGGAAUAUUGCACAAUGGGGGGAACCCUGAUGCAGCGACGCCGCGUGAGUGAAGAAGUAUUUCGGUAUGUAAAGCUCUAUCAGCAGGGAAGAAAAUGACGGUACCUGACUAAGAAGCCCCGGCUAACUACGUGCCAGCAGCCGCGGUAAUACGUAGGGGGCAAGCGUUAUCCGGAU
rnacentral:rRNA from 1 species